ACCUCCUUUUUAGCUUUUUCCCUUGGUUUUUUUAUGUUGUUUAAGUGGUAGCUGUUUGGGUGUGUGCAUGUGUGUGCGUGCGUUUGUGUGUGCACAACCAGCCCACACAGCAGUGUGAGGGGAGGAGACAACAGUAAGCGGGAGCGAUGUCAUUUCCCCCUCCCUCCUCCUUUUCUCCUCCUCCCUCCCUGACUCUCUCUCUCCUUCUCAUGCUUUUUCUCCUUCAUUGCCACGGCCAUCAGGAUCCAUCCUCUCUCUCGCAAUCAUUGGUUAUGCAAUGCACUGUUCUUCCACGGUGACUAACUGCCGCUGGAGCCCUACCGUAACACUGCUGUCACUGGCGGUAGGUGCAGAUCUAUACUGCCAGCUGCUGCCGCUUCAUGGGAUUUUACAGUGUUUCCUCCUUCGCUGGAAUAUCACCUGUCAGACUCGGCUGAUUCCAGGAGCAAUGUGUUGGUGCCCCGCUGAGCGGAGGCUGGGUGUCACCGAUACACCAUCAGCUGAGCCUACAGAGUCAUGCACGAUGCUGCCACGGGGGCUUCACUGAAGGGAAGGAUGCUUCUCUGAAAGGCACUAAUUGCUCCAUUUCCCAGAGGGUUCUCAAACAAGCGUUGAGGGUAGGGGUGGGGGACAGGGGAAGGAGGGAUUGCGUACGUUUACUAAUAAACUGGGGAGGGAGGGGGAGGAAUUUAGGCAAGCAGUGACAGGGAACUCAAGAUAUGGGGAGGAUGGGAGGAAAGGUGGGGAGGUGGGAGGGGGCAAAUGGGGAGAGGGUUUCUCCUCGCCCCCUAAACAGAGGCUGCUAGUGCUGUAGCAGCAGCAGCAGCAGCAAUGCAAACCUGCUGAUUAAAACCUGACUGCAAAGACUUGUGUGGGGGUGAACUUCAUCUGAAGGGAAGUUUGGGGCUGGUGGGCUGAAGCUGACAGGAGGGGCUACAAACCGGAGGAACAAGGAGAUAUUCACUGGAGACGCCCCCCCCCCCCCCACCCGUGGUAGCAUGCCGCGGUUUUCCAGUGAGGAUCCAAACAGCAUGCUGGAUGAUGUUGACUUACACCUUAGACGCCUUAGGAUAAGUGUUCCCUUGCCAGGUUAGCUGAGCGUCAGGAUCAUGGGCACCACAGUCAUCACCCUCGAGGACGUGCAGGUGCUGGAGGCCAAGGAGGAGCAGGAGGAGUCCAUCUUGGCCAUGUUGGGCAUCAUUGGCACAUUCCUGAACCUGUUUGUCAUCGUCUUUGUUUACAUUUACACCACACUGUGACGUAGUAAUGGAUAAAACCUGCUAUUAUAAGACAGGACACACUGAGGUGAGCUGCAGGAGAUAAUUUAAACAGUGAAUCUGGCAUGAACAUCUUCCCUGGAGAGACGAGGAGUGAACUGGACAGACUGGCUGAGGAUGAAGACAAAGAAGCCAUAUUACCAGGUCACAGUCAUAAGCCGGGGAGAUAACAAAGAGCUGGAGGACAUGACAGGAACAGGGCCACGCUGGGACCAGGUUGAGCAGAGCCAGACAGACACCAGCCAGCACCCAGCCAGGACUGACCUGCCUAAGGUCUGACAGGAAAUACAAACUUCACCUUGAUCUCAUUUUCUUGGACUCACUGGAAAGAUGAGCCAAACAAGAUGACACUGAUACAUUUCCUUUUUUUUACUUCCUUUUCCAGUCGGUGAGACUUUAGCUGCUACUUUCCUGAAGGGCUUUUAAGCAACAUGUUUAAAAGCAGAGUGUGUGAGACGGAUGGUGGGAAGCCAGUCUAGAGAAACUGUUGGUCAGUCAGACUUCAGGGCCCAACAUGUUUAUAUUCAGGGCUUCUGUCAGAGAAAUGUGGUUUUGGACAAACUCUGCUCUAUCGUCAUCUCCUCAGAAUAAAAACAAACACAUUUGUAUGUAGGAGUAUCCCCGCAACAACUGAGGAUGAAUUUAUAGAAAUUCCCCAAAAAUGUGAACAGCCAGAGGGCGGGGGUGCUGAAUGACUUAUAAUUAAACAAUACAGCUGAUUGACGUCUGAGGUGAACUGGGCCUUCUUCUUCUCCUGCACCUCUGACCACCGCUUCACACUGAUGAAUGGGGGGAGGGGGAGGGGCUGAAAGAUUCUCUUGAUAUAAUUGUUCAUGUUGAUUUCAGGGUAGUGUCAGCAAUCUGUUUCCUGUAUUAACAAGACUUUUCUAAAUAUUUGAAUAAAGUCUAGAUGUAUUGUG